CCUACGGGUGGCAGCAGUAAGGAAUAUUGGUCAAUGGACGAGAGUCUGAACCAGCCAAGUAGCGUGAAGGAUGACUGCCCUAUGGGUUGUAAACUUCUUUUAUCUGGGAAUAAAGUGUUCCACGUGUGGGAUUUUGUAUGUACCAUAUGAAUAAGGAUCGGCUAACUCCGUGCCAGCAGCCGCGGUAAUACGGAGGAUGCGAGCGUUAUCCGGAUUUAUUGGGUUUAAAGGGUGCGUAGGCGGAGUGUUAAGUCAGUUGUGAAAGUUUGGGGCUCAACCGUAAAAUUGCAGUUGAAACUGGAAGUCUUGAGUAGAGUAGAGGUAGGCGGAAUGCGUGGUGUAGCGGUGAAAUGCAUAGAUAUCACGAAGAACUCCGAUUGCGAAGGCAGCUCACUGGA
rnacentral:rRNA from 1 species